UACAGAGGGUGCAAGCGUUAAUCGGAAUUACUGGGCGUAAAGCGCGCGUAGGCGUUCGGGUCAGUCGGUUGUGAAAUCCCCGGGCUUAACCUGGGAAUUGCAGUCGAUACUGCCCGGCUAGAGUGUGGAAGAGGGAAGCGGAAUUUCCGGUGUAGCUGUGAAAUGCGUAGAUAUCGGAAGGAACACCAGUGGCGAAGGCGGCUUCCUGGUCCAACACUCACGAUGAGGCGCAAAAGCGUGGGUAGCGAACAGG
rnacentral:rRNA from 1 species